AGUGAACGCUGGCGGCAGGCCUAAUACAUGCAAGUCGAACGGCAGCACAGCAGAGCUUGCUCUGUGGGUGGCGAGUGGCGGACGGGUGAGGAAUACAUGGGAAUCUGCCCAGUCGUGGGGGAUAACGUAUGGAAACGUACGCUAAUACCGCAUGCGCCCUACGGGGGAAAGUCGGGGACCGCAAGGCCUGGCGCGAUUGGAUGAGCCCAUGUUCGAUUAGCUAGUUGGCGGGGUAAAGGGCCCACCAAGGCGACGAUCGAUAGCUGGUCUGAGAGGAUGAUCAGCCACACUGGAACUGAGACACGGUCCAGACUCCUACGGGAGGCAGCAGUGGGGAAUUUUGGACAAUGGGCGGAAGGCCUGAUCCAGCCAUGCCGCGUGAGUGAAGAAG
rnacentral:rRNA from 1 species